UGGGCUUAAGGCAUGAGAUACCAUGCUUGCU
rnacentral:piRNA from 1 species